rnacentral:rRNA from 1 species
AUUGAACGCUGGCGGCAGGCCUAACACAUGCAAGUCGAACGAGUGGCGGACGGGUGAGUAAUGUCUGGGAAACUGCCCGAUGGAGGGGGAUAACUACUGGAAACGGUAGCUAAUACCGCAUACCAUCGGAUGUGCCCAGAUGGGAUUAGCUCGUAGGUGGGGUAACGGCUCACGUAGGCGACGCUCGCUAGCUGGUCUGAGAGGAUGACCAGCCACACUGGAACUUAGCCACGGUCACGCCUCCUACGAGCGGCAGCAGUGGGGAAUAUUGCACAAUGGGAGCAAGCCUGCUGCAGCCAUCCCGCGUGUAUGAAGAAGGCCUUCGGGUUGUAAAGUACUUUCAGCGAGUAGGCGUUACUCGCAGAAGAAGCACCGGCUAACUCCGGGCCAGCAGCCGCGGUAAUUC